ACUGGGAACGUGUGCAAAAUGGC
rnacentral:piRNA from 1 species